rnacentral:lncRNA from 1 species
ACAUGGUGAAACCCCAACUCUACUAAAAACACAAAUAUUAGCCGGGCGUGGUAGCAGGCGCCUGUAAUCCUAGCUACUCUGGAGGCUGAGGCAGGAGAAUCCCUUGAAACCUGAAGGCGGAGGUUGCAGUGAGCCUAGAUCGAGGCCACUGCACUCCAGCCUGGGAAAAAGAGCGAAACUCUGUCUCAAAAUAAUAAUAAAAUAAUAAUAAUAAUAAUAAUAACAACAACAACAACUAUAAUUCCACGGUAUUUGCGGCUUUG